AGUCCUGUAGCUCAACGGUAGAGCGUUUGCCUUACAAGCAAGAUGUUGCAGGUUCAACUCCUGUCAGGACUACCA
rnacentral:tRNA from 1 species